rnacentral:rRNA from 1 species
UUUAUGGAGAGUUUGAUCCUGGCUCAGGAUGAACGCUGGCGGCGUGCCUAAUACAUGCAAGUCGAGCGAACGGACGAGAAGCUUGCUUCUCUGAUGUUAGCGGCGGACGGGUGAGUAACACGUGGAUAACCUACCUAUAAGACUGGGAUAACUUCGGGAAACCGGAGCUAAUACCGGAUAAUAUUUUGAACCGCAUGGUUCAAAAGUGAAAGACGGUCUUGCUGUAACUUAUAGAUGGAUCCGCGCUGCAUUAGCUAGUUGGUAAGGUAACGGCUUACCAAGGCAACGAUGCAUAGCCGACCUGAGAGGGUGAUCGGCCACACUGGAACUGAGACACGGUCCAGACUCCUACGGGAGGCAGCAGUAGGGAAUCUUCCGCAAUGGGCGAAAGCCUGACGGAGCAACGCCGCGUGAGUGAUGAAGGUCUUCGGAUCGUAAAACUCUGUUAUUAGGGAAGAACAUAUGUGUAAGUAACUGUGC